GGGGGAAUUUUGGACAAUGGGGGCAACCCUGAUCCAGCCAUGCCGCGUGAGUGAAGAAGGCCUUCGGGUUGUAAAGCUCUUUCGGCUGGGAAGAAAUCGCAUCUCCUAAUACGGGGUGUGGAUGACGGUACCAGCAUAAGAAGCACCGGCUAACUACGUGCCAGCAGCCGCGGUAAUACGUAGGGUGCGAGCGUUAAUCGGGAUUACUGGGCGUAAAGCGUGCGCAGGCGGUUUCGUAAGACAGAGGUGA
rnacentral:rRNA from 1 species